rnacentral:rRNA from 1 species
GCACGCGGCGGCAAGCCUACCAUGCAUUACGAACGGAUCCUUCGGGCUUAGUGGUAGACGGGUGAGUACAGUGGGAACGUGCCCUUCGGUUCGGAACAACUCAGGGAAACUUGAGCUAAUACCGGAUGUGCCCUUCGGGGGAAAGAUUUAUCGCCAUUGGAGCGGCCCGCGUCUGAUUAGCUAGUUGGUGGGGUAAAGGCCCACCAAGGCGACGAUCAGUAGCUGGUCUGAGAGGAUGAUCAGCCACAUUGGGACUGAGACACGGCCCAAACUCCAUACGGGAGGCAGCAGUGGGGAAUCUUGCGCAAUGGGCGAAAGCCUGACGCAGCCAUGCCGCGUGAAUGAUGAAGGUCUUAGGAUAGUAAAAUUCUUUCACCGGGGACGAUAAUGACGGUACCCGGAGAAGAAGCCCCGGCUAACUUCGUGCCAGCAGCCGCGGUAAUACGAAGGGGGCUAGCGUUGCUCGGAAUUACUGGGCGU